rnacentral:lncRNA from 1 species
ACCAUGUUUUUCACCAAACACAUUCUUUGCCUAUAUAAAGGCCAUUUGGGAGCAAGCUAAAACAACACCAACACAAUUCCUUUUGUGUUAUAUCCGAGUGAGAAUUUUGAGAGUUACUCACAAUUUGGUGAGUGGUAGUUAGUGUUCAAAAAAAUUAGAGUGUAUAUUAUACAAGAGUGUUUGUGAGGUUUCUUUGGGUACAAUAUUUG